GGCCUCAUAGCAUCGUGGUUAACUGCACGACGGAGUCAGGAGCCUGAAUGCCCAUGCUCAGAUCUCAGCCCUGUCACUUACUGUGACUCACUCAAUCUCUCCAGGCCUCCGUUUUCUUAUCUUUAAAAUAGAAGUAACAAGAGGCUCUCCCACGGUGGAAUCGUUAUGAAGAUUAAGGGAGAGGAAAUCUAUUUGGAGGACCUGCGUGGAGGAGACAAGGGAGAUGAUUCUGAUCCCUGGAAAGGACUCAAACUCUGGCAGACAAACAGAAAGCUAAAGAAAGCACUACAAUCCAAUGUAAUAAAUCAUCCUCAUGGCCACCGGCUCUCACACAUUUGCCCUUGGCUGGGCAGUGUGCUUAGUGAUGCAUUUGCUUCCUCUCACCGAGCCUCGACUGUACUCCUCUGAGGAGAAAUAGGUUAACAAUUGUGCCCAUUUUCCAGAUGGAAAAACCAAGGCACAGAGAAGAUAGGUGUUAAGAAUGCGAGGCAAGACAUAAACUCAGGGGAUGUCCAGCUCCAGAGUCCUUGCUCUUACCAGAUACCUCCCUCUGCAAGGUCAGCCUUGAGUAUGGACAGGGUCUUGCCUUUGGCCUUAGCCUCGGAGGAGUCCCAUCAAUAGGCAAGUGGAUGGGGAAGCAGGAGAAAGACAAGAGCUUGCAGCGGAUUUCUUUUCACAGCAUGCAAACAAAGAGAUACCCUGCCCUUCACUGCUCUUCUCUGGGCCCCUGGGCAGGCUGCCUGCGUCUUUCACCCCACUCUAAGAUGGGACACCAAGACCGAAGGCCAAGGUGGCCUGAGGCUGCGCGAAAGCUUUGAGAACAAAGGAGUCACGUCCUCCCCAACUGUCCCAGAGACACGUGAUCAGAGGGAGCAACUGCUCCCAAAGCCACACAGGAAACCACGUCUCUGUAAACUCACCCAUGACGUCAGCCCUGCAUCCAGAACAGCCCUUGUACCUUCCUUCCCACUCAUCCCUGCAUUAACCAAUUACUGAAAACAGCUCAAAAUAGCACCUGUCCCUCAGCUGGGGCUGCUGCAGGAAUAUGGCUUGUGAUCCUUUUCGAGAAAGAGCAAGUCUGUUGGAAAUCAGUGCAGUGAGAUUAUCUGGCUCUCACGCCGAUGUCCGGCUCCAACCUACCCAGAACAGGCUGGGCUACGGGGUUUGCGUGUUUCCUACCAGACAGUCGCGUUGGAACGUGGCUUCUUGUACCAGCUGUAGUCUGGGUCUCAGGGUAGCCAUCGAGGGGUAGCAAUGGGACCCAACCCCGUGAGCCACUCGAGCCCCACGGAGAGCAGAUUCUCUGAGAAGCUGGCCAAGGCACAGGAGUGGUCCGGAGGGUGUUCGGUGACCUGCUUCAAUACUGGCCCCGUUUCUCCACACCCCAGGCCACCCCCACCAGGAUCCC
rnacentral:lncRNA from 1 species